CCUUAUAAUUAAAACAAAGGCCUAAAGGUUAAAUCUGACGACUAUUGGUUGCGUAUUUUUCGGUAUAAAAAUUAUGAAGACAUUUUAAUCAACCUUAUAUUACUAGUAUUUUGAACUGAGAAGACAAAAUAAAAGGAAACUUGAGAUUAAGAUGAAAACAGAUUAUAUUAUAUUUAUAGUAGCAACUUCAUGUUUGUGUCUUGCACAUGGAUGGGUCAAAGAUGUUGAAGCGGUCGACGCUGUCAAAAGGUCACCUGACAAAGUGGAGAAAUUGACAUCACCAAUUGAUAUAUACCAACUAUUGCUGUGGUCCCUCAACAAAUUUCAAAAUUACACCGACAACAACAGCGAAGAUGAAACAGAAGAUGCAAGACAAAUCAAACGUACAAUGAAUAGCAAGUUGUCACGUGAUUUCCUCAGAAGGAGACGCAUGAGGGGAAAUAGUUUCCGAAUGUCUAAUAGUAAUUCGAUGGAUCCGUUAGCUAGUGGUUUGAUUGGUUAGAACGCUGACAAAGCUUCCGAUCAUGCUUUUAUUUCAGUUGAUUAUUACAUCUACUCUAUGACAUUUCACUAGGAACACUUCAUUUCAAAUUAAAUUAAAAUUGGAGUUAAAAGUUUUUCUUGUACAUCCUUCUAUAUUUGUUUUAUCAAAAGCAUUUCUUUUACUUGAAAUAAGAAACUGUUUCAUCAAUUACUGAAUAAAUACUUGCAAAAUUC